rnacentral:rRNA from 1 species
UNGGAAUUACUGGGCGUAAAGCGAGCGCAGACGGUUUAUUAAGCAAGAUGUGAAAUCCCCGAGCUUAACUUGGGAACUGCGUUUUGAACUGGUAAGCUAGAGUAUNUCAGAGGGGGGUAGAAUUCCACGUGUAGCAGUGAAAUGCGUAGAGAUGUGGAGGAAUACCGAUGGCGAAGGCAGCCCCCUGGGAUAAUACUGACGUUCAUGCUCGAAAGCGUGGGUAGCAAACAGGAUUAGAUACCCUGGUAGUCCACGCCCUAAACGAUGUCAAUUAGCUGUUGGGGCACUUGAUGCCUUAGUAGCGAAGCUAACGCGUGAAAUUGACCGCCUGGGGAGUACGGUCGCAAGAUUAAAACUCAAAGGAAUUGACGGGGACCCGCACAAGCGGUGGAUGAUGUGGAUUAAUUCGAUGCAACGCGAAGAACCUUACCUGGUCUUGACAUGUACGGAAUCUUCCAGAGACGGAAGAGUGCCUUCGGGAGCCGUAACACAGGUGCUGCAUGGCUGUCGUCAGCUCGUGUCGUGAGAUGUUGGGUUAAGUCCCGCAACGAGCGCAACCCUUGUCAUUAGUUGCCACCAUUCAGUUGGGCACUCUAAUGAGACUGCCGGUGACAAACCGGAGGAAGGUGGGGAUGACGUCAAGUCCUCAUGGCCCUUAUGACCAGGGCUUCACACGUCAUACAAUGGUCGGUACAGAGGGUAGCCAAGCCGCGAGGUGGAGCCAAUCUCAGAAAACCGAUCGUAGUCCGGAUUGCACUCUGCAACUCGAGUGCAUGAAGUC